CACGUAGGGACCAAGCGUUGUCCGGAUUCAUUGGGCGUAAAGAGCUCGUAGGCGGUUCGAUAAGUCGGGUGUGAAACCUUCAGGCUCAACCUGGAGACGCCACCCGAUACUGUCGUGACUAGAGUCCAGUAGGGGAGCGUGGAAUUCCUGGUGUAGCGGUGAAAUGCGCAGAUAUCAGGAGGAACACCGGUGGUGUAGACGGCUUUCUGGACCGUAACUGACGCUGAGACACGAAAGCGUGGGUAGCAAACAGG
rnacentral:rRNA from 1 species